UACGUAGGGUGCGAGCGUUAAUCGGAAUUACUGGGCGUAAAGUGUGCGCAGGCGGCCGAGCAAGUCGAGUGUGAAAGCCCCGAGCUUAACUUGGGAACUGCGCUCGAAACUACUUGGCUAGAGUGUGGCAGAGGGAGGUGGAAUUCCACGUGUAGCAGUGAAAUGCGUAGAGAUGCGGAGGAACACCGAUGGCGAAGGCAGCCCCCUGGGUCGACACUGACGCUCAGGCACGAAAGCGUGGGGAGCAAACAGG
rnacentral:rRNA from 1 species